GGCCUCGUGGCGCAAUGGGAGCGCAUCUGACUCCAGAUCAGAAGGUUGCGUGUUCAAAUCACGUCGGGGUCA
rnacentral:tRNA from 1 species